rnacentral:rRNA from 1 species
UACGAAGGGGGCUAGCGUUGCUCGGAAUUACUGGGCGUAAAGGGGGCGUAGGCGGAUCGUUAAGUUGGGGGUGAAAGCCCGGGGCUCAACCUCGGAAUUGCCUUCAAUACUGGCGAUCUUGAGUAUGGGAGAGGUGUGUGGAACUCCGAGUGUAGAGGUGAAAUUCGUAGAUAUUCGGAAGAACACCAGUGGCGAAGGCGACACACUGGCCCAUUACUGACGCUGAGGCUCGAAAGCGUGGGGAGCAAACAGG